UGGGGAAUAUUGCACAAUGGGCGAAAGCCUGAUGCAGCGACGCCGCGUGAGGGAUGACGGCCUUCGGGUUGUAAACCUCUUUCAGCAGGGAAGAAGCGAAAGUGACGGUACCUGCAGAAGAAGCGCCGGCUAACUACGUGCCAGCAGCCGCGGUAAUACGUAGGGCGCAAGCGUUGUCCGGAAUUAUUGGGCGUAAAGAGCUCGUAGGCGGUUAGUCGCGUCUGCUGUGAAAACUCGAGGCUCAACCUCGGGCUUGCAGUGGGUACGGGCUGACUAGAGUGCGGUAGGGGUGACUGGAAUUCCUGGUGUAGCGGUGGAAUGCGCAGAUAUCAGGAGGAACACCGAUGGCGAAGGCAGGUCACUGGGCCGCAACUGACGCUGAGGAGCGAAAGCAUGGGGAGCGAACAGGAUUAGAUACCCUGGUAGUCCAUGCCGUAAACGUUGGGCACUAGGUGCGGGGUCCAUUCCACGGAUUCCGUGCCGCAGCAAACGCAUUAAGUGCCCCGCCUGGGGAGUACGGCCGCAAGGCUAAAACUCAAA
rnacentral:rRNA from 1 species